rnacentral:rRNA from 1 species
UACGUAGGGUGCGAGCGUUGUCCGGAAUUACUGGGCGUAAAGAGCUCGUAGGUGGUUUGUCACGUCGUCUGUGAAAUUCCGGGGCUAACCUCGGGCGUGCAGGCGAUACGGGCAAUACUUGAGUGCUGUAGGGGAGACUGGAAUUCCUGGUGUAGCGGUGGAAUGCGCAGAUAUCAGGAGGAACACCGAUGGCGAAGGCAGGUCUCUGGGCAGUAACUGACGCUGAGGAGCGAAAGCAUGGGUAGCGAACAGGAUUAGA